GAGUUUGAUCCUGGCUCAGGACGAACGCUGGCGGUAUGCUUAACACAUGCAAGUCGAACGAGAAGGAAGAGCUUGCUCUUCCUGAAAGUGGCGAACGGGUGAGUAACGCGUGGGUAACCUACCCUUUGGAAAGGAAUAGCCCCGGGAAACUGGGAGUAAUGCCUUAUAAGAUACGUUUGUCGCAUGGCAUUUGUAUUAAACGCUCCGGCGCCAUAGGAUGGACCCGCGUCCCAUUAGCUAGUUGGUGAGAUAACAGCUCACCAAGGCCACGAUGGGUAACCGGUCUGAGAGGGCGAACGGUCACACUGGAACUGAGACACGGUCCAGACUCCUACGGGAGGCAGCAGUGGGGAAUAUUGCGCAAUGGGGGCAACCCUGACGCAGCAAUACCGCGUGAGUGAAGAAGGUUUUCGGAUCGUAAAGCUCUGUUAUUGGGGAAGAAAAAAAGACGGUACCCAAGGAGAAAGUUCCGGCUAACUACGUGCCAGCAGCCGCGGUAAUACGUAGGGAACAAGCGUUGUCCGGAUUUACUGGGCGUAAAGGGCACGCAGGCGGUUUUUUAAGUCAGAUGUGAAAGGCCACAGCUCAACUGUGGACAUGCAUUUGAAACUGAAAGACUUGAGUAUUGGAGAGGCAAGUGGAAUUGAGUUUGAUCCUGGCUCAGGACGAACGCUGGCGGUAUGCUUAACACAUGCAAGUCGAACGAGAAGGAAGAGCUUGCUCUUCCUGAAAGUGGCGAACGGGUGAGUAACGCGUGGGUAACCUACCCUUUGGAAAGGAAUAGCCCCGGGAAACUGGGAGUAAUGCCUUAUAAGAUACGUUUGUCGCAUGGCAUUUGUAUUAAACGCUCCGGCGCCAUAGGAUGGACCCGCGUCCCAUUAGCUAGUUGGUGAGAUAACAGCUCACCAAGGCCACGAUGGGUAACCGGUCUGAGAGGGCGAACGGUCACACUGGAACUGAGACACGGUCCAGACUCCUACGGGAGGCAGCAGUGGGGAAUAUUGCGCAAUGGGGGCAACCCUGACGCAGCAAUACCGCGUGAGUGAAGAAGGUUUUCGGAUCGUAAAGCUCUGUUAUUGGGGAAGAAAAAAAGACGGUACCCAAGGAGAAAGUUCCGGCUAACUACGUGCCAGCAGCCGCGGUAAUACGUAGGGAACAAGCGUUGUCCGGAUUUACUGGGCGUAAAGGGCACGCAGGCGGUUUUUUAAGUCAGAUGUGAAAGGCCACAGCUCAACUGUGGACAUGCAUUUGAAACUGAAAGACUUGAGUAUUGGAGAGGCAAGUGGAAUU
rnacentral:rRNA from 1 species